AUUGAACGCUGGCGGCAGGCUUAACACAUGCAAGUCGAACGAGCGGCGGACGGGUGAGUAAUGUCUGGGGAUCUGCCCGAUAGAGGGGGAUAACUACUGGAAACGGUAGCUAAUACCGCAUACUAUCGGAUGUGCCCAGAUGGGAUUAGCUAGUAGGUGGUGUAAAGGCUCACCUAGGCGACGAUCCCUAGCUGGUCUGAGAGGAUGAUCAGCCACACUGGGACUGAGACACGGUCCAGACUCCUACGGGAGGCAGCAGUGGGGAAUAUUGCACAAUGGGCGCAAGCCUGAUGCAGCCAUGCCGCGUGUAUGAAGAAGGCCUUAGGGUUGUAAAGUACUUUCAGCGGGGAGGCGUUACCCGCAGAAGAAGCACCGGCUAACUCCGUGCCAGCAGCCGCGGUAAUUC
rnacentral:rRNA from 1 species